rnacentral:sRNA from 1 species
UAUACACCGAGCAUAGCGGGCCGGAAAU